GAUGAACGCUGGCGGCGUGCCUAAUACAUGCAAGUCGAGCGAACAGAUGAGAAGCUUGCUCCUCUGACGUUAGCGGCGGACGGGUGAGUAACACGUGGAUAACCUACCUAUAAGACUGGGAUAACUUCGGGAAACCGGAGCUAAUACCGGAUAAUAUAUUGAACCGCAUGGUUCAAUAGUGAAAGACGGUCUUGCUGUCACUUAUAGAUGGAUCCGCGCCGCAUUAGCUAGUUGGUAAGGUAACGGCUUACCAAGGCAACGAUGCGUAGCCGACCUGAGAGGGUGAUCGGCCACACUGGAACUGAGACACGGUCCAGACUCCUACGGGAGGCAGCAGUAGGGAAUCUUCCGCAAUGGGCGAAAGCCUGACGGAGCAACGCCGCGUGAGUGAUGAAGGUCUUCGGAUCGUAAAACUCUGUUAUUAGGGAAGAACAAAUGUGUAAGUAACUAUGCACGUCUUGACGGUACCUAAUCAGAAAGCCACGGCUAACUACGUG
rnacentral:rRNA from 1 species